UGUGCCGGUCUAACUAGCUCUCUUCAACUCUCACAUGGUCGCUCGCUGAAGCCAAGCAGGGUUGCGCCCGGUCAGUGCUUAGAUGGGAGACCACAUAGGAAAGCUUUGUUGCUGGCGGAA
rnacentral:rRNA from 1 species